AAUUCCCCCAUGCUUUAGAAAAGGGAACAAAGGAAGUCCUAGAAGAGGGUUUUUCAACCUCAGCCCUGGCAUGCUCUGGCCAGGUCGUCCUUUGUGGUCAAGGACUGUCCUGUGCAUUGCUGGGACUUUCGUUUCCUUAGAGUGACUCACCCUGACCCCACACAUCCUCUGCUGGAUGCCCCUAGAUGGCAGAACUAAAAUCAACUGAGAUGCCCUGUUCUGGGAGAGCCUACAGGAUCUGAGUCUGACAACUGCCCCAUCCUGUGCUUUCUUCUCCAGAUACCUUAGGGGCAAAAGGUGCUGGCAGAGGCCAGAAGAGGGCAGUAGAUCUCUGAAUGCUGUGCUUACAGGCAGUUAUAAACUACCUGCCAUGGAUCCUGGGAACAGAACCCCGGUCUUCUUCAAGAGCAGCAGGAAAAAUGCUGAGGCUGUGGGAAGCCGGCUGCUCUGCUCAAGGCCACUCUGUGAGAGAAGAUGCUAGCUGGCAGCCUCCUGAUCCCCCGGCAUGGCUCCUGUCACUGCACAGUUCUUCCCGGCUGAUAUAUCACACGCCUAACUACAGAGAUGUGAGGAGUGCGACCCACUCAGCUCCCUUCACAUCACCCUAAUUGACACAGCCCAGGAAUGACAGACACCAUUUGUCAUGAAACAAAAAUACCCCAGGAUGCUGGAGCCAGAGAGUACUUUCUGCGCUAGCAUCCUGCUGGGCCCAAAGCACCACCCAGCCCUUGUGGUAACACAAGGCUGCAGGGGGUAAGAAGAGCUGCUUCUGCAAUUGGGUCAGUCCUGUGGGCUCGCCCCUCUUAACUGUCACAGCAGAUUAGACAGAAAGGCAGCACCGCAUGGACCACAGCUCAGGUGCAGGCUGAAGCCAAGAAAGGAAGAAACACAAUCAUUAAAGGGCCAGAGUGCCUGCCCUGCCUGUGGCUGCUGACCGCUGCCAGCACUAAUUUAAUGAUCCAGCCACAGCUCAGAGGACCCCUGUGAGCUGCAGGUUCACGAUGGGACUCUGGAUGCAGUGCAGGGAGGAUCCCGGAAGCCAGCAGGAGUCCAGGGGCCAUACUCACCCUGCUUGGGUCUAUGCGCCUGACAGAGGGGUGAGCCUACGUUGCUUUUUAAACAGGAGCCCUUCCGUUUCAUUUUGCACUGGACCCCACUGGCCAGAAAGCAGGCUCUCCCCCAGCCCAGCAGCUUCUAAACUCUAAUCGGCAAGCUGGAAACACUGUUCCCAUAGUGCCUAUUAGAGCAGAGCUGCUCUAGUUGAGGCCAGGAGUCUAUUCUCAACCUCAGCAAGCCUGACACUCACCUAUAAGCAUUGCUUAAAUGUUUUAAAUGAAAAUCCACAGAGCCCAGACCUAGAACCUGAGGCAGGUGGAGAGGUUCUAACACAUCCCACAUAUGACAAUGCAGCCUGUGACCCUGACUUGUACUCCAAGGGCUACUGGCUCCCCUUCUUCGCAGAUGAGGACACAGAGGCCCAAGCUGAGGGGCCUCAUCCAGUGGCACUCUGUCCUGACACCCUGAGGAGCUAAGCCAUCUUGGCCAUUCCCCUCCCUGCAGACACCAUCAUGCCUAGUUCUCCACGCUCUCAGAACACCUCUGGCGGCAGCACAGUGCCUUUGGGGAGUCUGAGGAAGGAUGGAGGAGUCAGAUCACGUUCACUGAGCCAACCGGCAUCCUAAGAGCUCAGAGCUCCAUGCUGUUCCUCUAACCUGCAGGAGACAGAUCAGCUGCACCAGUGCUAAGCCUGCUUGCCUAACAGUCUCCACCUCAGUAAUUAGCAGGCAAUCCCUUGGCAACAAUCUGUGGUACAAGUGCCACCAUCAUCCUGACUUUACAGGUAAGAAAGUGGGACUUAGCCAGGUAUGGUGGCUCAAGGCCAUAAGCCUAGCACUUUGACACUCACACAGAAGGGGCCUAUGGGUAAAAUCAGGAUAAAAGAGGCUCACCCACCUCCUCUCCUCCCCCACCCACCAUCUACCCUCCUAGGCAGCUCUUACCCAACUCUAACCCCACCUCCAAAGGACCACCCACAUCACACUGACUUCCUCAGCCUCCCUCCCAUGACUUAGUGAUCACCUGUGACUCUUACUCCUCUCCGUUAUUCUCUUACCUGACGC